rnacentral:rRNA from 1 species
UACGUAGGGGGCGAGCGUUGUCCGGAUUUACUGGGCGUAAAGCGCGUGUAGGCGGUAGGGCAAGUCUGCCGUGAAAGCUCGUGGCUCAACCGCGAGAGGUCGGUGGAAACUGCCGUACUUGAGGACGGUAGAGGGGGGUGGAAUUCCCGGUGUAGUGGUGAAAUGCGUAGAUAUCGGGAGGAACACCAGUGGCGAAGGCGGCCCCCUGGGCCGCUCCUGACGCUGAGACGCGAAGGCCAGGGUAGCGAACGGG